CUCACUGUAUGUAGGGUAACAGAAAGAAGAAUAACCCAACAUAGAAAGCCCUAAAGCAGGAAGAUACUACACAGACUUCCAAAGAAGCAGUGAGAGGACACCAUCUGAUGCUGGCUGCACCAAGAAGCCUGAAUGGCUGUCAGUGUCAGAGAGGAAAGGAGAAAGAUGAGAGGGAAAGCUAAGAAAAGGUGAGAAGAAAGGGUCAGGAGGAGAAAUGCAAAGACCCUGGGAUAAUUUUUUGGACGAUACCUUCUCUGCUGGCAGCUUACUGUGACUGCACCAUCCAAAAUUUGGUAUAAGGAUUUGGAAAUGUGAUCAAUAUUUCUUAGAAGGAUUUUGCACCAUCAGAUACAUUUUGAUAUUAGAAGAUAAAGAGAUUGGCCCGAAACUGGGAUGGAGGAGAAGCAGCCAAAGGAGUUGUUCUGUUUCCUGAGUGACUUUGAAGGUUGUACACCUUUAAUAUUCAUUUUGAGGAAUAAAGAAUUUAGACAUCCAAUUAA
rnacentral:lncRNA from 1 species